rnacentral:rRNA from 1 species
CCUACGGGAGGCAGCAGUGAGGAAUAUUGGUCAAUGGGCGCGAGCCUGAACCAGCCAAGUAGCGUGAAGGAUGACUGCCCUACGGGUUGUAAACUUCUUUUAUAAAGGAGUCAAGUGAGGCACGUGUGCCUUUUUGUCUGUACUUUAUGAAUAAGGAUCGGCUAACUACGUGCCAGCAGCCGCGGUAAUCCGGAGGAUCCGAUCGUUAUCAGGAUUUCUUGGGUUUAAAGUGAGCGUAGAUGGGUUGUUAAGUCAGUUGGGAAAUUUUGCGGCUAAACCGUAAAAUUGCAAUUGAUACUGGCAGCAUAGAGCACAGUUGAGGUAGGCGGAAUUGGUGGUGUAGCGGUGAUAGGCUUAGAUAUCACGAAGAACUCCGAUUGCGAAGGCAGCCUACUAAACUGCCACUGACAUUGAGGCUCGAAAGUGUGGGUAUCAAACAGGAUUAGAUACCCUUGUAGUC